AGUGAACGCUGGCGGUAGGCCUAACACAUGCAAGUCGAACGGCAGCACAGUAAGAGCUUGCUCUUACGGGUGGCGAGUGGCGGACGGGUGAGGAAUACAUCGGAAUCUACUUUUUCGUGGGGGAUAACGUAGGGAAACUUACGCUAAUACCGCAUACGACCUACGGGUGAAAGCAGGGGAUCUUCGGACCUUGCGCGAUUGAAUGAGCCGAUGUCGGAUUAGCUAGUUGGCGGGGUAAAGGCCCACCAAGGCGACGAUCCGAAGCUGGUCUGAGAGGAUGAUCAGCCACACUGGAACUGAGACACGGUCCAGACUCCUACGGGAGGCAGCAGUGGGGAAUAUUGGACAAUGGGCGCAAGCCUGAUCCAGCCAUACCGCGUGGGUGAAGAAGGCCUUCGGGUUGUAAAGCCCUUUUGUUGGGAAAGAAAAGCAGCAGGUUAAUACCCCGCUGUUCUGACGGUACCCAAAGAAUAAGCACCGGCUAACUUCGUGC
rnacentral:rRNA from 1 species